UACGGAGGGGGUUAGCGUUGUUCGGAAUUACUGGGCGUAAAGGGCGCGUAGGCGGCUUUUUAAGUCAGGCGUGAAAUACCGGGGCUAAACUCCGGAAGUGCGUUUGAAACUAGGAAGCUUGAGUACGGGAGAGGGAAGUGGAAUUCCUGGUGUAGAGGUGAAAUUCGUAGAUAUCAGGAGGAACACCGGUGGCGAAAGCGACUUCCUGGACCGAUACUGACGCUGAGGCGCGAAAGCGUGGGUAGCAAACAGG
rnacentral:rRNA from 1 species